rnacentral:rRNA from 1 species
CCUACGGGGGGCAGCAGUGGGGAAUAUUGGACAAUGGGCGAAAGCCUGAUCCAGCCAUGCCGCGUGUGUGAAGAAGGCCUUCGGGUUGUAAAGCACUUUCAGUGGGGAAGAAAGCCUUGGGGCUAAUACCCUCGAGGAAGGACAUCACCCACAGAAGAAGCACCGGCUAACUCCGUGCCAGCAGCCGCGGUAAUACGGAGGGUGCGAGCGUUAAUCGGAAUUACUGGGCGUAAAGCGCGCGUAGGCGGUCUGAUAAGCCGGUUGUGAAAGCCCCGGGCUCAACCUGGGAACGGCAUCCGGAACUGUCAGGCUAGAGUGCAGGAGAGGAAGGUAGAAUUCCCGGUGUAGUGGUGAAAUGCGUAGAGAUCGGGAGGAAUACCAGUGGCGAAGGCGGCCUUCUGGACUGACACUGACGCUGAGGUGCGAAAGCGUGGGUAGCAAACAGGAUUAGAUACCCGGUAGUC